rnacentral:lncRNA from 1 species
UUGUCUCUCUCUUUUUCAUGAUUUAUGACUCAGAAGCAAGACAGGGGCAGGAGGUUGGAGGGUAAUGCUUGCGGCUGUGGUUGCUGUUAUUUUUAUUUUGUAUUUUUCUUAAAGAAAAUAAAAGAAAUAUGCUUUUCUGAAAAAUCUUGAAGCCUUGAAGCCACCUGCAGGGCUGUUGUUUUCCAAGGCCUUGCACUUACGUAAUUGACAUCUACAUAGACACACUCCUGGAACAUAUCGGGGGAGGCAGGCAUUCUGCUUGUUCUCAUUUGUUCUCAAAUUACAUGAUAAAAUACAUGUUUUGGACCUUUUAAACCAAAGGGAGUUAUUGAGCCCGCUUACAAAAUCCAUAACAUGUUAGCAGGACUUAUCUAGCUGCCUCCACAGAAUAGCCAAGCAACUCUACACCCGCUUUAGCCCCCACAAAAACAAGCGGAUUGCACUACAAAUAAUUUGCCUAUUUGGAAAAUGAAAGCUUCUCUGUAGUUUGAGGUCCUAUUUUUUCUUUAAGUUGUUACAGUCUUUUCAUGGUCCUUGAGGUCUAGGUUAGGUUUUUGUUUGGGGUAAUUUUUGUAUCCUAUGGAUACUAUUUAAUCUUUAGUAUUGAGUCAGUAUUUCUCACUUAGGCCUUAGGGGAAUACUGCCUGAAGUAUGUAGGGGGCAUGCGGAAUUCAGACGUGGCUUGGAAACUGCACCAUGGGUUCACCCAAGAAACAGACCAGAGGCAACACAUUCUAUCACUAAAACGUGUUCUCAGUUACACUUCCCUUCCAAAGGUAUCUCUGUUCAAGCCAACACCCGCUAGCUUAUGCUGAGUCUUUUUUUCCUGAAGAUACUCCUAAAGAAUACUCCAUGAUCUCAUCAGUAACACCAGCCCAUGUGACCGUAACUCUCACUCAACGAGGAGAAAAUAUACAAAGAGAAGAUGAAGAGACAACCAAAUCCUGUGAAUGAAACAUUGUGACCUCAAGUUUACAGAUGAAGACAAUAAACUUCAGAGAGUUCAAGUAUAUCACUCAAGCAGGAUUAUUUGUGCCCAUGAGGGAAACACGAAGGAUUGUCAGUAUUCAUUUGCUAUCAGAACUGCCUUUGAACUUCAGGGAAGCCGCCAUCUUGUUUUAGUUCACUCCUCUAAAGCACAGUGUCUGCAACAUGAAACACUAGUAAGACACAGUUAUCCAGAAAGAGCCCUAGAGAUGGAUAAGGAACCUGUUGGAAUGCUCUGAUAUUAAGAAAAAAAAAAUUAAAUUCAAAACCAAAAACAAGUCACAAGGGAGUUUUAUGCCUAUGUAAUCAGUGCAGACAGCCGUUAAGUAAAUGAAGAGGCAACUAACAAUGUCAGAAAAGAGACCGGGCGGUUCCGGCUGACACUACCCUAAUCUUCCAGGACCCAUUAAAUGGUAGUUUCAACGCAUUACCUACCAUAACAUCCUUGAAUAUCACUGAUUUUAUUUGCAGUAUCAAACAUUCCAUUUCAUGCCCCAUUAACAGUGGGAGCCUGGGCUUUUUGACGCAGCUAAACAUUUUACUAACUACCUGGACUAAGUAACCAAUUAACUUUUGGAGACAAUACGGCCAAUUAAGCGCGAAAAGAAAAUUUGGAAAACAGGCUUUUCCUAUCCGGAUGAACAGAGAUAAUUUGUGUCGAUGGAUGUUCUGUGAAGGCCUAUUGUGUCGAGCAGCGUAUUAAAACAUAAACAUGGCUCUUCCCCCAAGAAACUUACAUUUCAGUAAGGGAGCCUGGCCAAAAUGGAAAACUGCAAGGUUCAAAUCCUGGAGUGCAGAAGAAGCAUUAGGCAUUGACCCUGUGGCUUCCUAAUAGAUCCGCAAAGUGCUUUGUUCCUGGAAAUCAUCCGAUGAGUAGUUCAGUGCUAUUGUAUAUCUUGUUAGAGCAGCCGAAGUGCCACAAAAUGAACUAAAAUCUCCCUGCAGAGUUGCUGUAUCAUAUGCUGAGAACAUUCGGAACUUUCAACAAAUUCAUGUUACGAUCCUGGGUAGCCAUGGUUAAAUCUGUACAGGGGUUAAAUGAGAAAUAUGAGCCUGCUGUUAAGUGUCUUCUGAGAGUGACAAAGCUCUGGCCAUAAGGGAUGGGAGAGGAGGGAUUUCUUCUCAGCCUUCCAGCCCUUUCCAGCUGUAUCACAGACAGGAGACAUAAUGCAAAGGGGCUCAGACAUUGACUUCCUGGAUCUUUGCGGCCCCAGGCAUUGACCCCCUCUACCUGGCUUUUCCUACGCUGUAAAAUGAGGAUCCUCCUAUAUUAUGGAGUUUAUUGUGACAACUAAAUAGCUGAGAAGAAGGACAUCUCAUUUGUUUUAACUAUGCAGUUUCCUGUCUAUCUAUCUAUCUAUCCCAUCAAUCUAUCAAUCAAUCUAUCAAUCUGUCUAUCCCUAUCUAUCUAUCCAUCUAUCUAUCUAUAUCUGUCUAUAUCUAUCUAACAUUUAUCUAUCAUCUAUUCAUCUAUCAGCUAUCUUCUGUCUAUCAAUAUUUCAAUCAAUCUCUCUAUCCCUAUCAAUUAAUCUAUCUACCUACCUAUCAACUAUCCAUCUAUCUCUAUCAUCUAUCAUCUAUUCAUCUAUCAUUUAUCAUCUGUCAAUCCAUCUUCCUACUAUCUAUCAAAAGCAACACAUUUUCUUCCUGACUUUAAAAAUAUUUAAGUGGGCCGGGAGGAUGGCUCACGCCUGUAAUCCCAGCACUUUGGGAGGCCUAGGCGGGCGGAUCACGAGGUCAGGAGAUGGAGACCAUCCUGGCUAACAUGGUGAAACCCCGUCUCUACUAAAAAUACAAAAAAAAAAAAAAAUUAACCAGGCGUGGUGGAGGGCGCCUGUAGUCCCAGCUACUCGGGAGACUGAGGCAGGAGAAUGGGGAGAACCCGGGAGGCGGAGCUUGCAGUGAGCCGAGAUCAUGCCACUGCACUCCAGCCUGGGCGACAGAGCAAGACUCCAUCUCAAAAGAAACAAAAACAAAAACGUAAGUGAUACUCUGUCCACUCUUUUGAUUGAGGAGGUCUGAUUUUCAGGCUUUGGAUUUUAUUAUGUCUUCAAUAUAAUAAUUGUUCCAUGUAUCUCUCCUAAAUUGCCAUUUGAAAAACUGCUUUUCUGAAGUUUAAAGUGCACAUUUUGAUACAUCUUGACACAUAUAUACACCCAUGAAAUCAUCACCACAAUCAGGAUAGUAGAUCUAUCCAUUACCGCCAAGGUUUACUUGCACUCCUUUGAACUUUCUCCCCACUCCUCACCCCCUGCCUAUCCCCAAUCCUUAAGCAAUCACUGAUUUGCUUUCUGUCACUAUCAGUUAAUUUGAAUUUUUCAGAAAUGUAUAUAAAUAAAAUCAUUCGACGUGUAUGCUCUUUUUCUGUUCACCCGGUACAAUUUGAGAUUUAGCCAUGUUUUUGCAUGUGUCAAUAGUUUAUUUUUUUGUUGCUCAGUACUAAUCCAUUUUAUGGAUACAGAGAAAUGUAUUAAUGCAAUCCCAUAUUAAUAGGCAUUUGGGUUGUUUCCAGGUUUGGGCUGUUACAAAUAAAGCUGCUAUGAACAUUUUUGUGCAAGUCUUUUUAUGAGUAUAUUCCUUUAUUUCUUUUGGGUAAAUACCUAGAAGUGGGAUGGGUGUAUCACAUGGUACGUAAAUAUUUAAAUUUUUAAGAGAAUGCCAAACUGUUUUUCAAAGUAAUUGCACCAUUUUAUAUUCCCACCAGGAAUAUAUGAGAAUUCCAGUUCCUCUACAUACUCACAGACAUAUUGUAUGGUCAGU